rnacentral:pre_miRNA from 1 species
UGGGAUAGAGCGGGUAUGGCAGGGGGUAGCAGAGCCCAGGGCAACCUUUCCCUUCGUGUUCCCAGAUCCUGCAUGC